rnacentral:rRNA from 1 species
AGUGGAUGGGGAGCAACCUAGUUGUGCGUGUGUAAAGGUAGUGCCAAGAAAAGCGAUGAUCAUGUUGAAAAUCAAUUCCCGGUACCCGAAACCGACACAGGUGGGCAAGUAGAGAAUACUAAGGGGCGCGAGGUAACUCUCUCCAAGGAACUCGGCAAAAUGACCCCGUAACUUAGGGAGAAGGGGUGCCACCGAGAGGUGGUCGCAGUGAAGAGGCCCAGGCGACUGUUUAGCAAAAACAUAGGUCUCUGCAAACUCGAAAGAGGAGGUAUAGGGGCUGACGCCUGCCCAGUGCCGGAAGGUUAAAGAAGUUGGUCAGUCUUAGGAUGAAGCUAGCGACUGAAGCCCCGGUGAACGGCGGCCGUAACUAUAACGGUCCUAAGGUAGCGAAAUUCCUUGUCGGGUAAGUUCCGACCCGCACGAAAGGCGUAACGAUCUGGGCGCUGUCUCGGAGAGAGGCUCGGCGAAAUAGGAUUGUCUGUGAAGAUACGGACUACCUGCAUUUGGACAGAAAGACCCUAUGAAGCUUUACUAUAGCUUGGAAUUGUGUUCGGGCUUCCUGUGCGCAGGAUAGGUGGGAGGCGUAGAAGGUAUUCUUGUGGGGAUACUGGAGCCAACGGUGAGAUACCACUCUCAGGAGGCUAGAAUUCUAACUUAAUUAAGGACAGUUUCAGGUGGGUAGUUUGACUGGGGCGGUCGCCUCAAAAAAGGUAACGGAGGCGUACAAAGGUUCCCUCAGACUGGUUGGAAAUCAGUCGAAGAGUGCAAAGGCAGAAGGGAGCUUGACUGCGAGAAGUACAGUUCGAGCAGGGUGGAAACACGGUCUUAGUGAUCCGACGGUGCUGUGUGGAAGGGCCGUCGUUCAACGGAUAAAAGUUACUCUAGGAUAACAGGCUGAUCUCCCCCAAGAGUUCACAUCGACGGGGAGGUUUGGCACCUCGAUGUCGGCUCAUCGCAACCUGGGGCGGAAGUACGUCCCAAGGGUUGGGCUGUUCGCCCAUUAAAGCGGUACGUGAGCUGGGUUCAGAACGUCGUGAGACAGUUCGGUCCAUAUCCGAUGUAGGCGUGAGAAUAUUGAGAGGAGCCUUCCUUAGUACGAGAGGACCGGGAAGGACGCACCGCUGGUGUACCUGUUAUGAUGCCAAUUGUAAACGCAGGGUAGCCAAGUGCGGAGAGGAUAACCGCUGAAAGCAUCUAAGUGGGAAGCCCACCUCAAGAUGAGUAUUCUGGUGUAAGGUCACGGGAAGACGACCCGUAAAUAGGCACGAGGUGGAAGUGCAGAGAUGUAUGAAGCCGAAGUGUACUAAUAGACCGUCGGCUUGACC